rnacentral:rRNA from 1 species
GGACUACCAGGGUUUCUAAUCCUGUUUGCUCCCCACGCUUUCGCACCUCAGCGUCAGUAUCGGCCCAGGUCUCCGCCUUCGCCACUGGUGUUCCUCCCGAUAUCUACGAAUUUCACCUCUACACCGGGAAUUCCGAGACCCUCUUCCGUACUCAAGCUCGCCAGUUUCGAGUGCCCUUCCCAGGUUGAGCCUGGGGCUUUCACACCCGACUUAACGAACCGCCUACGUGCGCUUUACGCCCAAUGAUUCCGAGCAACGUUUGCACCCUCCGUAUUACCGCGGCUGCUGGCAC